GGCCGGGCUCAGCUUACUGCCCUCCACCACAGGCCUGGACACCCACCCAAUGCCUCCAGACCCCCUGCCCACCCUGAUGCUGCCCUUCAUGAGGAUCAGAAUCCGCUGACACAGUGAGGAGCCGUCUGGGCAUCAAGUUCUUCAGCGAGAACAUUUAGCUGGACCUGGCGAGGAUCAGAAUCCGCUGACACAGUGAGGAGCCGUCUGGGCGUCAAGUUCUUCAGCGAGAACAAUUAGCUGGACCUGGCGGUCACUUUGUGUCUAUGAAGAUUUGCCUCAAGUUCUACAGCAACGUCCCUUAGAGGGCACUCCUUUCUAGAAGAACGUUUUAGAACUCAGAGGCGAAUCGCCUGGCUGACAUGAAAGCAAAGCGAAGAGCGGGCGGAACGCUACAUGGUGAUGAGCAGACCUGCAGAAACAGCUGCUUCUGGAACAAACUAAUUUCAUCCCAAAAAACACUGCGCUGCACUCUGGAUCUAUCAGACGAUAUGACUCCCGGAGCUGAGUGGUCUCUAAUGCAGGGGACAAGAGCAACUAAAGAAAUCUGCUGACAACCAGUUUGGAAAGAAAAGUUUCAUGUUUCCCUAAAUCCACAAUGUUCAGUUUUUUUCAGAAGGAAACAUGUACAUUAAACGGCAACCGAAUCCGAUGCGAUCAUCAAAGGCACAGCCAUAUUGUGUCAGUCACCGCCGCCGAGAAGACGAGAAUAUGUGAAUAUAAUGAGGUUAAUGCAACAGAAUAAAUGCAUCUCUAUAACCAGCAGCUAUGGCAUAAAUACCGUACUUGUUCUGAUCCUGAAUCAUUUUCUUUAUUAGGUUACAUUCACACCUACCAUGUUUUCUGCGGAUUUGGUGCUGUGUUCACUCGAUUCGUUGAACAGAUUUACACGGCAUCAAAUCUGCAGCUUCAAAUCCAAAGCAAACAUGGUAUGAGUACCGUUAUAUUCCAGAGCUGCACUCACUUUUCUGCUGGUGGAGUCACUGUGCACCUACAUCAUUUAUACUGUACUGAUGCUGAGUUACAUCCUAUUUAUAUUCCAAAGCUGCACUCACUAUUUUGCUGGUGGAGUAACUGUGUACAUACAUUACUGAUCCUUUACUGAUCCUGAUUUAUAUCCUGUAUUAUACUGCAGAGCUGUACUCACUUUUCUGCUGGUGGAGUCACUGUGUACAUUAAUUACAUUACUUAUCCUGUACUGAUCCUGAGUUAUAUCCUGUAUUAUA